UUGCAUGGCGCGCUCCGUCCUCCAGUUUACGAUCGGCGUUUAGAUGAGUCGUGUCAACGAGUGUCGUUCGACCGGGUGCAUCGUCGAUCGCGAACUCGCGAAACGUGAAAGUGAAAGAGAGUUUUUUCCUCGCGCCGAUCGAUAUCAUGUCCUCCCGUAAAGAUUCGGCGAUGAUCAGACUCGUACGAACGAAAUGUGCACGCGACAAAAUGCGACGUGAGUCACAUUCGAAUGGGAGACGACGAGCGACGGCGGAUCGGAUGUGAUUCUUUUCCGCAGGGAUCAAGAUGAUACCGCGCGAAGUGACGUGCCGGCAUUAGACAACCGACUAAUAUACUUAAUUCGAAGGAAAGUGUGGUGACGACGAAUUGCGGCAGGGAGCGAGGAGACUCGAGUGGAACAAGUCGUGAAGAUACCUGCGAAGCAACAGGAAGCUCGCUAAAAGCUUUGCGAUGCGUAAAACGUAGGGUUGCGGCACGUCCUACUUUCAGUCGGACAGCCCUAGAAUUCGGCGUUUUUACAUCUGCGCCUAAACGUUUCUCCAUUUUUCGGACCAAGAGUUUUUGUCAAUCGCGCAGUGAAACUGAAAAAAGUGAUGAUUAACGUAAAUUCAAGCGUUACUAGAUCUCUCUCAUUUGACUGCUUCAUUCCAGUUACGCAGUCGUUUCCGUGCACGUACCGCUUUUCCACCCUUUAAAAUGCGACAACUCUAGUGAACCUUCGCGCCGCGAAGUGGUGCCGCGAUAACGAGCGCGACUCGUGAGUACGUGACGAUCUUUUCACGUGAGAAAUUUUCAACUAUGAUAAUCUCAUCCGCCAGAAUGUCGGCCGUCGAUGAACUAACGACCGUCGCGACGGAGAACAGCAGUAACACGACGGACUUUCCUGAUUAUGACAUGAACGAAUCACUCAGUCAUUUUGAGUGGUUAGAGCUGGCGCCAAUGCUGACCAUCUACAGCUUGACUUUUCUGCUCGGAUUAGCUGGUAACGUCGUUAUCAUCGCUUCCACCCUUUGUCCACGGCUCCGACCGCUACCAGCGACGCCAACCAACGUUUUCCUGGGGGGCCUUGCCACCGCCGACCUCGUGCUUAUCAUAUUCUGCAUACCUGUGAAGGUAGCGAAAUUGUUCUCCUACACGUGGACCAUGGGUCUCUUCUUAUGCAAAGCGGUGCACUACAUGCAGAGUGUGUCGGCUAUCUGCUCGGUCGUUACUCUCACCGCGAUGUCGAUUGAGAGGUAUUACGCGAUAGUGCAUCCGAUGAGAGCGCAGUAUACGUGUACGAUAAGCCAGGCUCGCAAGAUCGUGAUUAUGACUUGGAUCGCGGCGUUUCUCCUGGGAAUUCCAAUGCUGUUUACACAGACGCAUAAAAAGGUCGGACUGCGAAUCAUUGCCUACUGGUGCGUGCGUGAUUCUGAAGCCGGGCUACUUUGGCGGGCUCAUGAAGUCUACAUGCUCAUCCUGGUCCUUGUGCUGCCACUGACCGUCAUGGCAUUCUGCUAUACGACCAUCUGCUGGGAAAUCUGGCGUGUCAUGAAGCGCCGGUACCACAUGACGUCACGACACGCAUUAAAUCCAAACAAUGUGGAAUCUAUACCGAUGACGCAGAAAGGUAUGCCUAUGAGGCAAAAGGGAAAUGAACGCAGACCGCGUCGGGAUGACGGUGACGAUGAAUCACGAACUAUGAAACAGGUGGUGAAAAUGCUGGUAGCGGUCGUGGUGUUGUUCGCUGUUUGUUGGGGUCCAAUGCUCGUCGACAACGUGCUGACCGCUUAUGGCUACCUGCCUCGCCUAAAGGGCGGCACGCACAAGCACCUCAACACCGCGUUCCAGCUGAUGGCCUAUUUUAACAGCUGCAUAAACCCGAUAGUGUAUGGAUUCAUGUCGAAGCACUUCAGGGAGAGCUUCCUGUCGGCUGCCUGUGGUGGAUGGCGGAUCUGUUGUCCCAGAAGAGGCUACCGAACAUCUAUGACGAGGCACGCCAGCCUCAGCCAGACUAGGACCACCAGCGUGAGGUGGAUUCGAAACUCGUCCCGCGAGUCGAAGUCACGAAACUCGACCGAGCUGCAUCCCGUAGUCUACCCGUGAGACGCGCUCGCCGGGGCACAUAAGUCCCCAGUCGACGAUGAGACCUGGUCCUGAUACUGCCAGGGACCCCCGAAAGCCCGUAACACGAUCGCAACUGUCCGGCUAAGGUAGACGAAUGGAGUACGAUUCGAUUCGAGAUGGACUUGAUUCUUUCUUCACCCCGAGUCAGGUCAUCGAGGGAAGUUUCCGCGAGAUAGGAGACUUCCAACAGCGAAUGAGGCCGAGAGGGACCGCGAUUACAGGGUUUGCGGAGGUGGAACACCCCUGGGGCGUCCUUGCGACCUUUCGGCCCUCGCCAACCACGACGGCCGUGCAGAAGUGAAGCGACAUCAACAGUGUGACGGAAGUUCUCGCGAAUUGACAGCAACUCUCUGCGAUAGCGCGAGUAAAAUCGCUCGCUGCGACUGCUGCCAUAGUUAAUGCUGAUAAGUUCUUCCGCGGACUCACAGUCUAUUUAUCAUGAUCCCGUCGCAACUCGGCAGUAUUAUCGCUUCGCGUGUGCCGCACGUGAGAUAAUUGGACACUUGAUUAAUCGGGCGUUUGGACAAUUGGACGUUUUAACGUAUGGUCGAAGCCAACGUGGACGGGGAAUGGAUGGGGGUGAAAGUUGAUUCGCCUAAGCGUAAGGGCAAGCUGAACACCCACACGGUGUCCGUGCGGGGUAGCUUCAGAAAUGGCGAUUAUUAAUGCAUUAUCAACCCACAGUGUGUCACAAAGACACACCUGGUGCGAAUGCAUCCGUCUCUUCAAUUUCAAUUCGUGCGUCUUCUCAAUUUGUAACCUACUUAAGAAUUGAAUGGGAGCGAGAUAUAAAUAUGUAACGACGUAGAUAGAUAUAUACGACGUGUGUGUAUUGUAUAUGAUAUUUAUGUAAAAGAUCUAUGAGGAAAGAUACAUGUACAUGAUAAAUCCGGGAUUUAGAAGCAUUUUCUCACCGCGUUUGUUUCACUAGCCCAUGCACCACGAUGCACCACAAUGUCCGUCUGACCUUAAGAUUUUCCAGAUUUCGUAAUGCAUUCUACCUCGGUAAAAGUUCAAGCUCGACGGUGCACACUUUAGUUGGCUCCGAACGCAUCACACGACUUGACGUUCAAUAUUCAAUACUCACGGAAUGCCAAAUGCCGUUUUCGUGUUAUCCAAAGGGGAAAUUCGGAAUCCGAUAGUUAUGUAUGUUUAUCGAUAAAUACACUGUGGAAACGCGGACCAAAGUGCGCCGACUAAAGUGCUCGGAGGGAAGUCACGUCGACGACCAUUUACGAACAUUUCCAAAGUACUCGACGCUUUAUGUAUCGAACGAAUCGCGGUAUGUAUCGACGCGCAAUCAUGCGCCACUUGGGAAACACUUGCCCAAUAUUGCGCGCAAGCUUGCGCCCAAUAUCAGACUACGCAUUGAGAUUGCUGCCUGGUCUGACACGGGCUUUGCGGCAGAAACGGUAAACGCGAUCGGCGGAUAUGUGUCGAGCAAACCUGUGCAAGUUUAGAGGCGAUCGUCAGGUGAAGCUUCUACCAGAAUCACCCAUAUUUGUAUUCGCAGGCACGUGAUUGUCUCUGAAAUGGACAAGGUCGUAGCCGAGAGCCCGUGGCAAUAACGUAAAUUAUUACGGACAUUUGACGUAGCAUAUCAUUCGAAGCUCCGAGCCAUGCGCUUCACGAUAUUGUAAUAAUUAUUAGCUCCAUUAGGUAAUUGUUAGCUAGAUCAAUUAGAGCGCUGUAUCGCAGCGGGUCAAUAAUGGAAGGACCAACGGCUUCAAAUGAGCAUUCUCGGUUCGUUACUCCGGAGAACUCACGUUGCAUUUUCUCGUUUUUCUCUGCGCUUGCGUGCUUUCCACGAGCCUUAAUAUCAAAUAUCAGGCUAUGAUUGUAUAUUAGUGUUAAUAAUAAUAAUAAUAGUUAGUGAUAAUAAUAAUAAUAAUAACGUAUACUAUGAGACUUUUCUACUGUAUAAUAUAAUAUCCUACGCGGCCGCAUCUGCAUGGGAGAACGGCUCUCCUUUCGUAGCGGUUCUUCGUGUCAGUAAGCCGCAUUGUUCAAAAUACACACUGGGGAAACCAAGUCGCUAAUUCAUGUAUAAGAGCUACCUAAGAUUACCUAGGCACUUUAAAUUAUCUGACGGACGUGAUGGCCACGCGAGUUUGAUGAUGAUUCUGUGCCUGCGACGGGAAAACUGGCUGCGAGUGCCAUGAGAACUGUGCAAACAAGUUUCGGACAUCAUGGACGAAAGAUACUUAUAUGGCUAAACGCGCAGCCAUCAGCCUGUGACAGCACUUUUGGCACAUUAUCUCGCUGGCACAGUAUUAAAGUCAACGUUUGUGGAGCGUGUAGCUUUUAUCUCUCAUUGUAUCUACCUGGACAAAGGGAUAAUGCAAAGCGUUUUCAUUUAGAUAAUAUGCGAGAGAGAGAAUGGUUAUUUAUAUUUAAAAGCGUCUGUUAUGACUUACUUGGCUUUAAUCUCGUAACUGUAAGGAAUACAUUAAAAUGUUAUUAAAUAUAGUAUUAAACCAACUGUCUCUGCGAGAGUGAGACAGGGAGAGAAAGAAAGAGCUUUAAACUGAUUCUUCUGCUACGAUUAUUCUACAGUUAGUUGUCCUAGGCAUUGAUAUCUUUCCGAUUCUCUUUCUCGAAGAAUUAAUUAAAACUUUAUUAAUUCCAAUUUUUACACAUUGCUAUAUCCUAUCUUCAUGUAAUGUGUCAAUCGAAAUUUCUUUUAUUGAAUCGGCAAUGGAAAAAUAAUUUAAUUGUUAAACUUUUAUUGUUAAAUUAAAUUAUUAAAAUCGCAAUCAGAAUCGUAAUUCUAUUUUACGAUUAUCACAGAAAAGUAUUAAUAAUAUGUAUAAUAUGUUGUAUCGAUAGCAAUGACUAUCGGAUAAUUUUUUAUGAUAUGCAUGAAGCUAUUUUUGCAUCUCAACUUUCAAUUGCUGAGAAUCACAUGCGAUUAAUACACGAAAUUAAAAAUAUUUCUUGCAAUCGAGAGAGAAGAUCAGAAACACAAAGUCGUGAUUUUUAUUUUACUUAGUAGUGGAAAAAUUCAAUUCAGACUUACAAGUUUUUUGCGAAUUUUUCUAUAGUGCAAUAUAAUGCUGCAAUGUUUCUCUUAGAAUAUUACAUUAGAUUUUAAUUUCAAUUUUGGUGUGCGAAAGUCAAUAUUAAAGAAACAGAAUAUGUUUUUGCUUUAAUAUUUAAAUAACGUAUAAUGUAUAAUAUCACUAAAAAUUCGACAGCUUCAAUAUUGAUACUAUUGACUUAUGUUGUAUAAUUUGCAGUAAUUUAUUAUUGAAUUUUUUAUAAAAGCGUUAGCUAAAUAAAAUUUUGCUCGAUCUAGUCAUAAAACUCUAAUCUUGUAAAAUUGUUAUAUAACUUUCUAAAAAAACCUCUUUGAUUAUAAAUAAGCUCCGGAGACAAGAUUCAGAAGAAUAAAUGUAAAGCCAAUGAAUGCUUCACGAUCUUUGCACAUAUACAUAAUUAUACAAUAUAUCAAUUAAAAAGAGAAUAAAUGUAGCAAAGAAUUGUAUAUUUUGGAGAUAUGCAUGCGCAUACGCAUCCGCAAUAUGUAAGAUAAUUUAUUCUAGGUAAUGCAACAUAUAGCGAGUACAAACUGUAUGAUUUAUAUGAUCUAUACGAUCUGUACCUGUACGACAUAUGUAUUAUCAGUAUAUGAUCUCUACCCUCUCCUUCUUCCCCCCAAGAUAUCGCAAAUGGCUUUAAAUGUAUUUAAGUUACAUGCCAAUGAACUUUUCUUAGCGCGAGCAAUGUAGUUCAUGUUACCCGAAAGCGAGUAUUAGAUAAAUAAAUGAAAUAAACGCUAUGGAAAAUUA